rnacentral:tRNA from 2 species
GGUUAAGUAGCUCAGUUGGUUAGAGCAGUGCCCCCGGAAAGUGGCAGGGACCUGGGUUCAAUCCCCAGCUUGGUCA